GACGCACUCAACGUACUAGUCCUCAUAAAUCUAAUCUCCCUCACUUUCUUCGCUCCUUCUUCUUCUCCAUAAUCGUACCGGGUCUAUCUCGGCCGUAUCGGACUACCCAAAAAAAACCCCGAAACACCAUGGCCGAAACACAGCCUGAGUCCCAGACUUCGACUGAGUCUGUGACCGACACUGAACCCUCACAGUACUGGUGCUACAGCUGCGAAAAACGCGUCACCGUCGAAACCCUAAAUAACGUGCCAAUUUGCAACGAGUGCAAGGACGGUUUCGUCGAAUCGCUUCCCGCCACGUUGCCCUCUCCAUCGACUCCGCCUUCUGGAGAGUCCGAUCAGGUCGAUGAUCCAACCUUCGGCUCUCAAUUCCUUCAGGUUCUCCGCUUGAUGGCGCAGGCCGCGCGUGACGAGGACGCGCCUCCGCCUCCUCCUCGCGACCAUUCGCCUGACGACGAUUUCCUCAGGAUUGAGCUUGAUGGAUGGUAUAACGAUGAAGAGGAUGAAGAUCCGAACAACACCGAGUUUCAGAACCACGAGGAAGAGGAAGAGGAAGGAAAUGAAGAUGAAGAUGAAGAUGAGGACGAAGAUCGCUCAUCUGAUAACGAGGACCAAGAGAAUCGAGAUCGGCAAGAGAGAGAGGAAGAUGAUGAAAUACAACGGCAAAGGCGGCGUGAUCUGCUUCGGCUUCGGAUCCAGGACGUUAUGCCUCGGGCACGGAGCGGCCGUAACCGGAUCUUGGAUUGGGCCGAGAUUCUCAUGGGCCUGGAGGACACCUCUAUCGAAUUCCGCCUCGAAGUCCCUGAUUCGGACCGGUACGUCGGCAAUCCUGAAGAUUACGUCGACGCCGAGGGCUACGAGGCGUUACUGCAAGCCUUAGCGGAGAACGAUAUCGGCGCAAGAAGAGGCGCGCCGCCUGCUUCAAAAUCGGCCGUCUCGGCUUUACCGACGGUGGUGAUUGCGUCGGAGAUAGAGGCUUCAGUCUGUGCUAUAUGUAAGGACAUGGUCAAUAUUGGCGAAACCGCCACUAAAUUGCCGUGUGGUCAUGAUUACCACGGCGAUUGCAUUGUGCCUUGGCUUGGUUCCCGGAAUUCUUGCCCGGUUUGUAGGUUUGAGCUUCCGACGGAUGAUCCCGAAUACGAAGAGGAGAGGAAGAAGACGGCGAAGGCAAGUGCCGGUGGAGCUUCCGGUUCUGGCCGAAAUAAUUCCGUUUUGGAUUGAUUAUCAAAUCGAAUCGUGCAAAGCUUGUGAUUCUUGUGCGUGAUGGUGAACUGAGUUUGCCAAUUCUGAUUGUAGAUUAUCGAUGAAGGCGGAGCCAGGUAUCAGAUCCAAAUCUUUUAGUGCGGGAAUUACUAAGGUGCUUUUUGAAUCCGGUGUUUGCCAAAAAAGGGAAA